rnacentral:rRNA from 1 species
CACAUCGACGGUAACGCUUAGCACCUCGAUGGUGGCUCAG